rnacentral:rRNA from 1 species
GUUGUUUAGUUGAAAAUCAAUUAAAUAAUUUUUGAUUUUAAGUAGUAUUGACUUCAUCAGCUUGCUGCUUUCUUUUCGGAAAUUAUUUAAUGCACUUUUCAGUUAACAAGUCAACAUCAAUUUCUUUUGUUGUAAAAAGGUAAGAGGAAGGUGGCUUACAUUUCGGUGUAAGUGUUUAUAGCCUUUUACCUCUGCAAUCGGAGAGAUUGAGGUCAGCAGCGUAGACUCUUCGGGGUUAGAUACACUUGUGCUAAGCUAUAGCCUUGUAUAGACAACUUGUUGACUAUGCUCAGUCAUGUAGCUUACUCGCUUGUAGUAUUUUACCUAC